UUGAAUGGAGGACACAUCUCUCGACUGAGAUAAAAUCUCACUUGUGCUUUCCAGGAAAAUAGCGAAUGGAAUGAUUGGCAAACUACUGUUUUGCAGGAGCGUAAUAUUGUGGAAAAUGUCUACAGAUGGGCUUGCGGGCGCCCAACUGCAUUGCAAGAUAGGACAAGGGAUAGUGAUGAGGAUGAUCUUCAUGACAGAGAUUUUGAUGUAGCAGCUUUAGCAAAUAAUCUUAGCCAAGCAUUUAGAUACUCGAUAUAUGAUAAUGAGGAUGCUGAGGAGGGCAAUGGGGCUCUUGAUCGAGUUGAUGAGCUAUGCAUAUGUUGAUUACAGUCGUGAAGAACUUUCUUAUAUUGAUGAGUUAUAGUGAAUAAUAGGAACUGAAGGAAUGAAUUGAGUGGUUGCGAAGUGUUUUCAUUGUAAUUCAGUGAGCUCAAGAAUCUCUGUGGUUCUUUCUUGAAUAAUGGGUUCAAGAAUUCAGAUCUGUUUGCUGGUUGUUUCUGUCCAAAUUUUACUUGUAGCAGCGCAAACGAAUAAUGACUCCCCAGGUCUUUCAGCAAUCAAAGGAAAGCCUUACUCAAAUAGGGACUGGGUUUGAAUAUAGGCUGAAACAUGAGUUGAAGGGUCCUAGCUAUGGUCUUCUCGAUUCACCACUGCGAGAUUUUAAAUGCAUGUCCUUGAUUGGGUUAUAAGAAGCCAUUUCUGUCUGGAGUUUUCUAAUUUACCUGGGAAUAAUUUCCACAAUGUAAGGAUGUGAAUCCCUUCCCACCUCUGGAAUACAUAGUUGCAUUCCUACUAUGUGUUAACUGCUUUCCGAAACUAGAAAUCUUAGGUCUUAUUUAGCAUCAAGUUUUCAGCCUGCAUACUAGUUUUGGGGUCACUUGGGAGCAAGCUUUAGAUGUCCCAGUUCUUUAACCGAAAUAUCAAAUGUUCUUGAUUAUUCAGAAGUGGUAAUCCUUGAAAUAAUAAUUCUUGGUCAAAUGAAAU